AUUGAACGCUGGCGGCAGGCCUAACACAUGCAAGUCGAGCGGAGCGGCGGACGGGUGAGUAAUGGCUAGGAAUCUGCCUGGGAGUGGGGGAUAACGUCCGGAAACGGGCGCUAAUAACGCAAACUAUCGAUUGAGCCUAGGUCGGAUUAGCUAGUUGGGGGGGUAAAGGCCUACCAGGGCGACGAUCGGUAACUGGUCUGAGAGGAUGAUCAGUCACACGGGAACUGAGACACGGUCCAGACUCUUACGGGAGGCAGCAGUGGGGAAUAUUGGACAAUGGGCGAAAGCCUGAUGCAGCCAUGCCGCGUGUGUGAAGAAGGUCUUCGGAUUGUAAAGCACUUUAAGUUGGGAGGCGUUACCUACAGAAUAAGCACCGGCUAACUUCGUGCCAGCAGCCGCGGUAAUUC
rnacentral:rRNA from 1 species